rnacentral:rRNA from 1 species
GAUGAACGCUAGCUACAGGCUUAACACAUGCAAGUCGAGGGGAAACGGCAUCGAAAGCUUGCUUUUGAUGGGCGUCGACCGGCGCACGGGUGAGUAACGCGUAUCCAACCUGCCCAUCACUUGGGAAUAACCUUGCGAAAGUAAGACUAAUGCCCAAUGACAUCCCACGAAGGCAUCCGAAUGGGAUUAAAGAUUUAUCGGUGAUGGAUGGGGAUGCGUCUGAUUAGCUUGUUGGCGGGGUGACGGCCCACCAAGGCAACGAUCAGUAGGGGUUCUGAGAGGAAGGUCCCCCACAUUGGAACUGAGACACGGUCCAAACUCCUACGGGAGGCAGCAGUGAGGAAUAUUGGUCAAUGGGCGAGAGCCUGAACCAGCCAAGUAGCGUGCAGGAUGACGGCCCUAUGGGUUGUAAACUGCUUUUAUAAGGGAAUAAAGUGGGUCACGUGUGACUUUUUGCAUGUACCUUAUGAAUAAGGACCGGCGAAUUCCG